CUGGUAUUGAUUGGUGCUUGCAUCAUGAUUUACAUUUGAGUGAGUGGCGAACUGGUGAGUAACACGUGGGAAACCUGCCCAGAAGCGGGGGAUAACACCUGGAAACAGAUGCUAAUACCGCAUAACAACUUGGACCGCAUGGUCCGAGCUUGAAAGAUGGCUUCGGCUAUCACUUUUGGAUGGUCCCGCGGCGUAUUAGCUAGAUGGUGGGGUAACGGCUCACCAUGGCAAUGAUACGUAGCCGACCUGAGAGGGUAAUCGGCCACAUUGGGACUGAGACACGGCCCAAACUCCUACGGGAGGCAGCAGUAGGGAAUCUUCCACAAUGGACGAAAGUCUGAUGGAGCAACGCCGCGUGAGUGAAGAAGGGUUUCGGCUCGUAAAACUCUGUUGUUAAAGAAGAACAUAUCUGAGAGUAACUGUUCAGGUAUUGACGGUAUUUAACCAGAAAGCCACGGCUAACUACGUGCCAGCAGCCGCGGUAAUACGUAGGUGGCAAGCGUUGUCCGGAUUUAUUGGGCGUAAAGCGAGCGCAGGCGGUUUUUUAAGUCUGAUGUGAAAGCCUUCGGCUCAACCGAAGAAGUGCAUCGGAAACUGGGAAACUUGAGUGCAGAAGAGGACAGUGGAACUCCAUGUGUAGCGGUGAAAUGCGUAGAUAUAUGGAAGAACACCAGUGGCGAAGGCGGCUGUCUGGUCUGUAACUGACGCUGAGGCUCGAAAGUAUGGGUAGCAAACAGGAUUAGAUACCCUGGUAGUCCAUACCGUAAACGAUGAAUGCUAAGUGUUGGAGGGUUUCCGCCCUUCAGUGCUGCAGCUAACGCAUUAAGCAUUCCGCCUGGGGAGUACGGCCGCAAGGCUGAAACUCAAAGGAAUUGACGGGGGCCCGCACAAGCGGUGGAGCAUGUGGUUUAAUUCGAAGCUACGCGAAGAACCUUACCAGGUCUUGACAUACUAUGCAAAUCUAAGAGAUUAGACGUUCCCUUCGGGGACAUGGAUACAGGUGGUGCAUGGUUGUCGUCAGCUCGUGUCGUGAGAUGUUGGGUUAAGUCCCGCAACGAGCGCAACCCUUAUUAUCAGUUGCCAGCAUUAAGUUGGGCACUCUGGUGAGACUGCCGGUGACAAACCGGAGGAAGGUGGGGAUGACGUCAAAUCAUCAUGCCCCUUAUGACCUGGGCUACACACGUGCUACAAUGGAUGGUACAACGAGUUGCGAACUCGCGAGAGUAAGCUAAUCUCUUAAAGCCAUUCUCAGUUCGGAUUGUAGGCUGCAACUCGCCUACAUGAAGUCGGAAUCGCUAGUAAUCGCGGAUCAGCAUGCCGCGGUGAAUACGUUCCCGGGCCUUGUACACACCGCCCGUCACACCAUGAGAGUUUGUAACACCCAAAGUCGGUGGGGU
rnacentral:rRNA from 2 species